rnacentral:rRNA from 1 species
GAUGAACGCUGGCGGCGUGCCUAAUACAUGCAAGUCGAGCGAACAGACGAGGAGCUUGCUCCUCUGACGUUAGCGGCGGACGGGUGAGUAACACGUGGAUAACCUACCUAUAAGACUGGGAUAACUUCGGGAAACCGGAGCUAAUACCGGAUAAUAUAUUGAACCGCAUGGUUCAAUAGUGAAAGACGGUUUUGCUGUCACUUAUAGAUGGAUCCGCGCCGCAUUAGCUAGUUGGUAAGGAACGGCUUACCAAGGCGACGAUGCGUAGCCGACCUGAGAGGGUGAUCGGCCACACUGGAACUGAGACACGGUCCAGACUCCUACGGGAGGCAGCAGUAGGGAAUCUUCCGCAAUGGGCGAAAGCCUGACGGAGCAACGCCGCGUGAGUGAUGAAGGUCUUCGGAUCGUAAAACUCUGUUAUUAGGGAAGAACAAAUGUGUAAGUAACUAUGCACGUCUUGACGGUACCUAAUCAGAAAGCCACGGCUAACUACGUG